AGUGAACGCUGGCGGUAGGCCUAACACAUGCAAGUCGAACGGCAGCACAGUAAGAGCUUGCUCUUAUGGGUGGCGAGUGGCGGACGGGUGAGGAAUACAUCGGAAUCUACUUUUUCGUGGGGGAUAACGUAGGGAAACUUACGCUAAUACCGCAUACGACCUACGGGUGAAAGCAGGGGAUCUUCGGACCUUGCGCGAUUGAAUGAGCCGAUGUCGGAUUAGCUAGUUGGCGGGGUAAAGGCCCACCAAGGCGACGAUCCGUAGCUGGUCUGAGAGGAUGAUCAGCCACACUGGAACUGAGACACGGUCCAGACUCCUACGGGAGGCAGCAGUGGGGAAUAUUGGACAAUGGGCGCAAGCCUGAUCCAGCCAUACCGCGUGGGUGAAGAAGGCCUUCGGGUUGUAAAGCCCUUUUGUUGGGAAAGAAAAGCAGCAGGUUAAUACCCCGCUGUUCUGACGGUACCCAAAGAAUAAGCACCGGCUAACUUCGUGC
rnacentral:rRNA from 1 species